CCAGCUGCACUACUUCCUGAACUUCAGCCAGCUCCUUGUUUCCUGUCUGCCAUUAUUGGACAAACUGAUUAAUCCAGGUGUGCCUGAGCUUAGUAGUCACAACAACAAUAAUCAGACACACCUGGAUUUAUCAGUUUGUCCAGUAAUGGCAGACAGGAAACAAGGAGCUUAAAGCCUAUUGCUAAGGAGAUCCUCAUCCAGCUCGAUUUUAUUAGAGAGCAGCAGUUGCAGACUUCACCCCAGACCCAACACAUUUUGGGCUGCCACUUUCAACUAUUGAGGAGCUACAAUGUUUGUAGGAGACAUUAAAUAAUCCAGAUGAGAAGAAGAAUUUGGUGAGACUGUUUUUCCUGCAAUGGUCGGAGACAAGACUCUUAAAGACACCGUGGGGUGGGUCCUGAAAAAAACUAUGAACUCUUCGUGGUGAGACUCAUCAAUUGAAGUGGGGUCAACUGAACGCCUGCAUUCAAAGGGCUCACUUUGAAAAGUGUGGUUUUGGAUGCAGUCCGCCGGAAUGCCCUGACCAAAGAUAACACAGAAAAGGAGAUAGAGCUCCUCAUCACCAGGUGGUCGGUGCUAGCAUAUGACAGGGAUGGUGGCCGAAUCCAGACAAUAGACAGACAAUGAAUUAAAAUGUUUUAAAUUUAAAAAUGUUGAUUUUUGGAAAAUUCGUAUUUGAACUGAUUGUGUGUGUGUGUGUGCACCUGGUAAUUAUCACGUUGUGUCCCCACAAAGAUAGGAAUACCAGUAUUUUUGUGACCUUGUGUCCCCAUGAGGAAACAAGCUUAUAAAUCAAACAAAAUGAUGUUUCUUGUAAAUGUGAAGUAGGAGAAGGGUUUCUGUGAUGGUUGGGUUUAGGGAAUGGGGUAGGUAAGGGGAAUAAAAUAUACAGUUUGUAUGGUAUAAAAUGCAUUACGUCUAUGGAAUGUCCCCACAAAACAUGGAAACCUGUUUGUGUGUACGAGAGAGAGAGAAUGUGUGUUCAAGUGAAUAAAAAUGCAUUAAACGUGAAAUCCUUGUUCUUCCUUGUGUGUUUUAUUUUCAGUUAAUGUUGCAUAAUGGUUGCUUAGCAAUUUUAGUAUUAACCAAUCAAUAAAAUCAAUAAAUUAAACAAGCCCAAAUAAGGAACAGGAUUGGAGGGGAGCU